AAGAAAAAAAAGCUUACCUCCCCCGUCUCCACCUCCAGCGCGCCGCCGCAGUCGGCCCUCGCCCCUCCGCCGCAUGCCGCCACCGCCCCAGCGGCUUUCCACCACCUGCGACACUCGACGCCGGCGCCGCACCUUCCCCCAACUCCUCUCUCUCCUCCUCCUUCGCCGUCACCGCUCUUCAUCAUCUGGGAGACUCCAUCGAAAUGGGCAGGCGAUGCUAGAGUUCACCGGAAUGGGUAGGCGGGCGGCGGGCGGCACGAGGAAGAUGGCGAAUCCGGGCGCGGCGUCGAGGGUUCAGGCGGCUGGUGUGGCAGCUUGGUCCGAUGGAGACGGUGUCCUGCUCAUCUAGAGAAAGAGAGAGAGACAUGGCGUGAGGGGGAGAGGAAAGAGAGGAAUAAAUGAGAAGGAGAAGGGGCGCAGGGUGAGGGAGGCAGUCGCCGGCGGUGGCGCCGCUCUGCCGCUGCAUCUCUCUUCCCCCACGUCCCUACUGCUACUCUUCUAACUCCAUCUCUCUGCUGUCGAUUCUCUGUCCGCUGCUACCUCUCCUCUCUGCUCCUUGCUGCCUGUGGCUGUCCCAUCUCUCCUAGCACUGUUGUUGCUGCACUUCUUCUGAAGCUCUUCUCAAACCCGUUGAUGCAGUUCUUCUCUGAACUCCAACCUGUUGUUGCUUCUCUCUCUCUCUCUCAAUUUUUCUGUAAUUCUAUGAACCAUUGUUGUGCGAUUAUAUGAUUUGUGGUAUUUGCUUGAGUGAACCUGUAAGGUUUGUACCUUCUGGAAAGUGCUAGCACCUACAUAUUAUCCAUUUUUUCUAAAUGUCAUGAGGCAUGAGCCACAAUUUUUCUCAAGAACGACCCUUGGUAUAUAUAAGGCAUGCAUACAAUUUUAAUAACACUCUUUUUUCUCUCAUUUAUCUGUUGGCAUAGAGCAUCGUAUAAUAUAGAAGAUUCAUUCAAACAUAGCUCUUUGAAUAUCGGACAAAAUAUUGGUUGCCUGAUUUAUUUAUAAGAGGAUUCUUCUAUGUAUUUAGUUACAUGAUUUUAAUUUGAUCGUCUUCUUUCAACUUUUUUUUGCUGAGUAUGAUAUUUCCUUAGGUUCACCUUGACCUUCACUACUCUUGUGUAAGAGCUUAAGUAAAUUGAUGUUGUAUCAUCAGAAUCUGUAGCCUUGCACAAUUUUUUUUGUCUGUACAUACACUUCAAUUUCUUUCUUACACUGAAAUCCCUCUUUGUCACAGGAUGAAUCAGAAACUGAAGAUGAUGAUCCCAUGGACACAGAAGAAGCUUCCUCUGUCCUCAUCGCUGCACUGGAGUCUUUCAGCAAAGCUCUGGUGAACUUUGAAAUCCAGUUUAGAGAAUUGCUCAUGACUUGACAGAAAUCAUUCUUAUAAGCACAUCGUUUGAUUCUAUUACUAGUAAUCUGCCAUAAAAGAUAGAAUGUAAGGAAGGGUCUACUUUAGCAGUUGAGAUCAAGUUGCUACUCCAAUCUAUAUAUGAAACCAAAUCAGGUGGGCUCGAUGAAAAAGAGGUAAUAAGAGAUGAACUCUUCCAGUAUAAAAAGUUGAUGGUCCUAAUUAGUUUGUAGCUUAUUUCUUGAUCACUUUAAUUUACACGACAUCUCCAGGGCUUUUCGUGUUCUGUGGUAAUAUAUUUGAUUAUAGUCACAGCUUACGCAAGAUGAUUAUUUACGUUCCUAAUUUAUCUUCCUCUAUCAUGGUGGUAGGGAAACAUCGCCGUUAGUUUGCCUGAGAUAGAAGGACUUCACAUAAUUUUGUCAAUAGCAUUGAUCAGGAUAUCUUUCUUCUUAUUCCUUUCUAUUUGUAGACAAGGAAGAACCAUAGAGAAUCUCGAUCCUUACACUGUAGCAGUACCUGAAGCAGAGCAAACCACUGUCUCAAAUUUAAUAGUAUAUGGAAAGGAAUGGUUGUUUUUGUUGCGGGUUACUCCAGGAACAAGUGCAUUGUCAAGCUAGAUGUUUUAUAUUAUCCGUCCAUAAUCUGGAUGCUUGUGUAUCCUGCGACUUGGUUCAUCCAGGAGAUAUUUGUUUUCAAACACAAGUGUGGGCUGCUUGCAGGGUAGAGCAUAAUUGGAUUUUAAAGCCAUUUAUAAUGUCCCGCAAAACUAUAAGUUUGAACAAAGGUACAUUAAGUUGUGUCACUCACAUGGACAGUGUUGCCAUCUAUAAUGCCUUACAAGUCUGAGCUCCAUCACGAUAAUCUGGUUAGUGUGUCGCAAGUCUGCUAUUUCUAACUGUACAAAUUCUGCACUUAUUUAGAAUUUUACAUGAUGCGUAGAUUUUUCAGAACAGAAAUAAGUGAAUCCUUUUAACCUGAUUUUGCUAUAUUAUUUAGUUCGAAGUUACUUUGUAAAUCCCAGUUUCUCCAGUAUUGUAACUCUGUGUCAAAUUAAACUGGUAUUUCUCUUGUGGACAACUUCAAUUUGUAAUGUCAUGAUUUUCUUUUUCAGAAACCACUUCAACUAGCCUAGGGCUAUGUCUAUUAGUCCUCCAGUAUUUCUUGGAAUGAGAUAGCACAUGUUUCUUCAAGUGUCUACACACUACAUGAAGUAAUUAAGUUUCUUAUAGAAGUAGUCAAACCUGGACACCAAUUUAUUGGAACAUUAUAUUUCUUAUAGAAGUAGUCAAACAAGGAUAUCAAUUUAUUGGAACCAUCAAGGAAGAGACAUUCCUGGAGGGUCAGAAGUAAUGCAAUAUAUUCUCCCUCUUAUGCCUAUUUGAAAUACAGUUGUAAGGUUGUACUUUGCCACUCAUAUUGCAGUACUCAACUGUAGCAUGGAUGGAGCAGGAAAGUGUGCUAAACCUUCUAACAUGGACACUGCACUUGUACGAGCUACGGGCCACUAUUGUUUGUCAUAUGGAUUGUAGAUGUAGUGGUAAUGUACCACAUUUUUCUUUUA